UAACCUGGCGGCUGCUUACACAUGCAGUCGAACGGCAGCACGGGAGCAUCCUGGUUGGCGAGUGGCGAACGGGUGAGUAAUAUAUCGGAACGUGCCCAGUCGUGGGGGAUAACGCAGCGAAAGCUGUGCUAAUACCGCAUACGAUCUACGGAUGAAAGCGGGGGAUCGCAAGACCUCGCGCGAUUGGAGCGGCCGAUAUCAGAUUAGCUAGUUGGUGGGGUAAAGGCCCACCAAGGCGACGAUCUGUAGCUGGUCUGAGAGGACGACCAGCCACACUGGAACUGAGACACGGUCCAGACUCCUACGGGAGGCAGCAGUGGGGAAUUUUGGACAAUGGGCGCAAGCCUGAUCCAGCAAUGCCGCGUGCAGGAUGAAGGCCUUCGGGUUUGUAAACUGCUUUUGUACGGAACGAAACGGUGAGCUCUAAUAAAGUUUGCUAAUGACGGUACCGUAAGAAUAAGCACCGGCUAACUACGUGCCAGCAGCCGCGGUAAUACGUAGGGUGCGAGCGUUAAUCGGAAUUACUGGGCGUAAAGCGUGCGCAGGCGGUUAUGUAAGACAGAUGUGAAAUCCCCGGGCUCAACCUGGGACCUGCAUUUGUGACUCUGCAUAGCUAGAGUACGGUAGAGGGGGAUGGAAUUCCGCGUGUACAGUGAAAUGCGUAGAUAUGCGGAGGAACACC
rnacentral:rRNA from 1 species